AAUCAACGCUGGCGGCGUGCCUCAGACAUGCAAGUCGAACGCGAAAUUUCCCUUCGGGGGAGAAAGUAGAGUGGCGCACGGGUGAGUAACACGUAGGUAAUCUACCUCUGGGUGGGGAAUAACAGCCGGAAACGGCUGCUAAUACCGCAUAAUGCAGCGGCACCGCAAGGUGACAGUUGUUAAAGCGGGGGAUCCUGAAAGGGACCUCGCGCCUGAAGAGGAGCCUGCGGCAGAUUAGCUAGUUGGCAGGGUAAUGGCCUACCAAGGCGACGAUCUGUAGCCGGCCUGAGAGGGCGGUCGGCCACACUGACACUGACAUACGGGUCAGACUCCUACGGGAGGCAGCAGUCGGGAAUUUUGGGCAAUGGGCGAAAGCCUGACCCAGCAACGCCGCGUGAAGGAUGAAAUUUUCGGAAUGUAAACUUCGCAAGACAGGAAGAAUAAGUAGAAGAUAACACCUUCUAUGAUGACGGUACUGUUUGUAAGCUCCGGCUAACUCCGUGCC
rnacentral:rRNA from 1 species